rnacentral:rRNA from 1 species
GGGCCCGCACAAGUAGUGGAGCAUGUGGUUUAAUUCGAAGAUACGCGCAGAACCUUACCAACACUUGACAUGUUCGUCGCGACUCUAAGAGAUUAGAGUUUUCGGUUCGGCCGGACGAAACACAGGUGCUGCAUGGCUGUCGUCAGCUCGUGUCGUGAGAUGUUGGGUUAAGUCCCGCAACGAGCGCAACCCUCACUUUUAGUUGCCAUCAUUUAGUUGGGCACUCUGAAAGAACUGCCAGUGAUAAGCUGGAGGAAGGUGGGGAUGACGUCAAGUCCUCAUGGCCCUUACGUGUUGGGCUACACACGUGCUACAAUGGUAUUUACAACAGGAAGCAAGACGGCGACGUUAAGCAAAUCCCUAAAAGAUACCUCAGUUCGGAUUGCACUCUGCAACUCGAGUGCAUGAAGCUGGAAUUACUAGGGUAAUCG